UUUCUAUUCACCCAAAAUCCCCUCCAUUACUAAAAUUUCACCCCUUUCAUUCCCCACGUUUCUCACCCCCCCUACAUCCCUACUUCUCACUGCUUCUUCCCAAAAGCACCACCCACCCCAAAGCACCACCAUGUCACGACUUCUAUAUACUCUCCUGUCCUGCGUUUCUCCCUCUGCUUCUCACUGGGGACUCGCCUACUGUUGGAAGGCGCUACCUAGCUACCGCAACCGCCUCCUCUCAUCUCCUGGGCAAAGACUAGUGCGCACCACCAUACCGUCGCCGACUUGCCUCUCGUUGAACACCGCAACCGCCUCCUCUCCUCUCCAUGUGCGGCGGAGCUAUUAACCUUGAAUUCGGUCUCCUUAUCCGCAACAACAUUUGCUUCAUAUCGCUGAAUUUUUUUUGAAUUGCAAUCAUCUAACUCGAUCUGCAGUAAAGACGAGGCAGAAACUGGAUAUGGCUAUCAGAUUUACAAUACCGAAAACUAGGGGAAGACGAAUUUUUUUCCGGCAGUGGUGAAAUUGGCAGUAUCAAAUUCCGGCGCGGGUGGUGGUGAGGUCCUUUGGUCCCGGUGUUUUGUGCUUCUUUACUCCCAAUUUUGUUUUACGAGAGAAAGUCAGAAUUAUAAAUUAUAUCAAUGUUACGAGUUGCGACAUUUGGUUUACAUAUUGAAUGUUCAUGAAGAAUGACAGAAUAUUUCGAAUCAUAUGGUGCUAACAAAAAAUUAAUUAUAUGAAUCAGAGACCUUAGUGACAAUCACAUUGGGGAUACAAGUCUUGCCAGUUUACCUCCCACGGAUCUCAUACGAUUUUCGCUUCUAUUUGCUGCUGUCACUGCUAGCUGCUGCUGUUACUGUCUGCUGCUGUUUCCGUCUGCUGAUGUUACUAUUUGCUGCUGUUACGUUUACUGUACUGCUGUACUGCUGUCACUGCUGCAUGUUGUCUGCUGUUGUUGUUUCUGUUGUUAGUAGAACAGUUGUUUGUUUGCAACUGCUAGCUCCUGUCUGCUAUUACUACUGCUGUUUAUUUGUUGUUGUGUUGAUUAGUAUGAAUUUGGUAGUCUAGAGUUCGAAGUCGACGAAGUUGACCGAAAUUGUCUUUCGUUUUGUUUUGAUUAUUAGAUUGUUUAGCCAAACAAAAAAUUUUGUGUUUGUGGAUGUUUUUUUAAGAAACUAUGAAAUUAUAUAAAUUCCAAUUAUUUAUCGUA